rnacentral:rRNA from 1 species
CGGGGUGGAGUAAUAGUCUGGGAAACGUGCCUGAUGGAGGGGGAUAACUACUGGAAACGGUAGCUAAUACCGCAUAACGUCGCAAGACCAAAGUGGGGGACCUUCGGGCCUCAUGCCAUAAGAUGUGCCCAGAUGGGAUUAGCUAGUAGGUGGGGUAACGGCUCACCUAGGCGACGAUCCCUAGCUGGUCUGAGAGGAUGACCAGCCACACUGGAACUGAGACACGGUCCAG